AUUGAACGCUGGCGGCAGGCUUAACACAUGCAAGUCGAGCGGGGAGAUGUAGCUUGCUCCCUAUCCUAGCGGCGGACGGGUGAGUAAUGCUUAGGAAUCUGCCUAUUAGUGGGGGACAACAUUCCGAAAGGAAUGCUAAUACCGCAUACGCCCUACGGGGGAAAGCAGGGGAUCUUCGGACCUUGCGCUAAUAGAUGAGCCUAAGUCGGAUUAGCUAGUUGGUGGGGUAAAGGCCUACCAAGGCGACGAUCUGUAGCGGGUCUGAGAGGAUGAUCCGCCACACUGGGACUGAGACACGGCCCAGACUCCUACGGGAGGCAGCAGUGGGGAAUAUUGGACAAUGGGCGCAAGCCUGAUCCAGCCAUGCCGCGUGUGUGAAGAAGGCCUUUGGGUUGUAAAGCACUUUAAGCGAGGAGGAGGCUCCUUUAGUUAAUACCUAAAGAGAGUGGACGUUACUCGCAGAAUAAGCACCGGCUAACUCUGUG
rnacentral:rRNA from 1 species